rnacentral:tRNA from 1 species
AGCUCGAUAGCGCAACGGUAGCGCGUCACUGUGAAGAUCUCGGUUCGACUCCGAGUUGAGCUA